GGUCUUCAAUUAGGGUAGGCUAAGUUACGUUUGUCAAGCACCCGUCACUCCAACUCAGAAGUGAAAUAAACAAGGCACGAAUUAUAGGUAGGCUAUAGUUCGGUAUAGGUAUAAUUCUGUAUAUUGAGAUAAAGAAACACGAGAGAAACGAUGUUCGGCUGUUUGGAUUUGCCAACAUCGUCAUUUCAGGUAUUCUGGCACGCACUGCGUAUGUGCUUCAGUCGAGAGGUGACCGAGGAGGCGAAAGUAGCAAAAACCAUGAGCUCCAAAAUAGACCGAGAUCUCUUCGAACACUCCAAACUCGAGUCACACGUGGUUAAAAUUCUAUUACUAGGUGCCGCUGAGAGUGGCAAGAGCACUUUGGUUAAGCAAAUAAAGAUCAUCCACAGUAAUGGCUUCAGCAGACAGGAACUCCUGAGCUUUAAGCCGGCAGUGCUGGAUAACCUGCUCAACUCUAUGAAGUUUGUCCUGCAAGGUAUGGGCCUUCUGAGGAUCAAUCUGGUCAACCAGAGGAACAAGGACCAUGCCGAGUUUGUGCUGGCCUGUGAUUGGUGCAUUGGGGAGGACGGAGAGCUGCGGCCUUUCCUGGCUCAGGCCUUCUGCAGUCUGUGGGCAGAUCAGGGGGUGAGGGUCGCAGCCGCCCGGGGUCAAGAGUACCAGCUCAACGAUUCCGCUCUCUAUUUCUUUGAGAACAUUGGUCGGAUCAUCGCGCCGAACUAUGUUCCCACGGAAAAAGACGUGUUGCGUGUUCGUGUACGCACGAGUGGUGUGCUGGAAACCCAGUUCAGUACUGCUCAGUUUAUCUUUAGGCUGUAUGAUGUGGGAGGGCAGCGUACACAGACGAGGAAGUGGCUGCGUUUCUUUGACGACGUGUGUGCUGUGCUGUUUCUGGUGGAUGCCAGUCGAUACGAUCUCAGGCCUCAGCAGGGUUCGGAUACGGGCUGUGUCCAGGAGAGUCUAGAACUCUACUCUUCCGUCUGCUCCAACACGGUCUUCAGCAGUGCCUCGCUGAUUUUAUUCAUGAACAAAAUGGAUCUUUUUCAAAAGAAGAUCUUGCAUUCUGGAAGACAUCUACGGCUUUAUUUCCCAGAAUUUAAAGGAGUUAGACCAUCAUUGUGAAAUGAUCUGCAUCAUACCUGUCAUCCAUCAGCUGCUCAGCUUCUCUACUCCAUCCCCUGUGUUCUUUUCUGUUGUGUUGGAGGCUGUGGUGAUGUCCUGGGGGCUAAGUAGGAGGGGCGGACUGUGAUGCUAGUGGUGCUGCCAGCUUCCUCACUAGCCUGUUCACAGACCACCUCAGCUCACCAGCAAAGCCUGUGUACCAUCACUAUGCCACAGCCAUAGACACCAGCUCCGUAAGGGACGUCUUCCAG